GAUCCUGGCUCAGAACAAACGCUGGCGGCGUGCCUAACACAUGCAAGUCGUACGAGAAAGUUCGCUUCGGCGGAUGAGUAAAGUGGCGCACGGGUGAGUAACGCGUGGAUAAUCCGCCCCUCAGUUGGGAAUAACUCAUCGAAAGGUGGGCUAAUACCGAAUAAUGCUGUGCAUCGCAGGUUGCACAGCCAAAGAUGGCCUCUGCUUGCAAGCUGUCGCUGAUGGAUGAGUCCGCGUACCAUUGGCUAGUUGGUAGGGUAAUGGCCUACCAAGGCGACGAUGGUUAGCUGGUCUGAGAGGAUGAUCAGCCACACUGGAACUGAGACACGGUCCAGACUCCUACGGGAGGCAGCAGUGAGGAAUAUUGCGCAAUGGGGGAAACCCUGACGCAGCAACGCCGCGUGAGUGAGGAGGGUCUUCGGAUCGUAAAGCUCUGUCAGGCGGGAAGAAACGCAAGGUGGUAAAUAGCCUCCUUGCCUGACGGUACCGCCAGAGGAAGCACCGGCUAACUCCGUGCCAGCAGCCGCGGUAAUACGGGGGGUGCAAGCGUUGUUCGGAAUUAUUGGGCGUAAAGAGCGUGUAGGCGGCUGGAUAAGUCAGAUGUGAAAGCCCUGGGCUUAACCCAGGAAGUGCAUUUGAAACUGUUCAGCUUGAGUAAGGGAGGGGAAAGUGGAAUUCCUGGUGUAGAGGUGAAAUUCGUAGAUAUCAGGAGGAACACCGGUGGCGAAGGCGACUUUCUGGCCUUAUACUGACGCUGGGACGCGAGAGCGUGGGUAGCAAACAGGAUUAGAUACCCUGGUAGUCCACGCCGUAAACGAUGUUCACUAGGUGUUGGGGGUAUUGACCCCCUCAGUGCCGGAGCUAACGCAUUAAGUGAACCGCCUGGGGAGUACGGUCGCAAGACUAUAACUCAAAGGAAUUGACGGGGGCCCGCACAAGCGGUGGAGCAUGUGGUUUAAUUCGAUGCAACGCGAAGAACCUUACCUGGACUUGACAUCCCGGGAAUCCCUUGGAAACAGGGGAGUGCCUUUCGGGGAGCCCGGAGACAGGUGCUGCAUGGCUGUCGUCAGCUCGUGUCGUGAGAUGUUGGGUUAAGUCCCGCAACGAGCGCAACCCUUGUCUUUAAUUACCAUCAUUCAGUUGGGUACUUUAAAGAGACUGCCGGUGUUAAGCCGGAGGAAGGUGGGGAUGACGUCAAGUCCUCAUGGCCUUUAUGUCCAGGGUUACACACGUGCUACAAUGGGUGG
rnacentral:rRNA from 1 species